AUGGUCACAAAUGCAGAUGUGGGGCCCCAGCCCAGCCCUGCUGAAUCAGAAACUGUUGGUGGGGGGACCCUCACACCUGUGUUUCCUCAAGGCUCCUCAGGGUCCUGAUGCAGGAUGAGGCUUGAGAACCCCUGCCGUAGGGUUAGGCUGGUCAGGGCCAGCCUCCCAGAGGAUACAGUCUUGGGUAAAAGGGCCGUGUCGCAGAGCCUGGUAUCAGGAGCUCGGCACGCACAGAGGCCCCGACCCUUUCAGAGAGCUUGCCACGUGGUCAGGAGAGUGGGUAACAGUACGUGGUAACCCCACACGAGCCUGAGCCAGGCCAGAUGUCCAGUGAGAGGGCUUCUGGGCUUUGGGUCUAGAUCUGUCCAGCCAAACGAACCAAGACGUAAUUACUACCUGCUAUGUAGAAGGUGCUGUGCUGGAGAUUUAGACUAAAAUGAUACAGCCUUAAAAUUAGGCUUUAAUAAUUAAAGAAGAAUGUGUCGGCUUUGAGCCAUUUCCUUAUCAGGAGGUGUUUCAUCCCAAAACAGUUGGAAUGUGGCGUCAACCAGGAACACGAGAGAGUGGCCCUUUUCUGUCUCCUUUCACUCACUCAGCACAGGCAGCCAGGUGCAAGCCGUGGGAUUUCAGACCUGGAGUCGGUCCUGGGUUUUGUUUGGUCAACAUGGGAUUUUAAAACUUUUGAAUAAAUAAGGAACUCAUACAAUACAACAGCAAAAACACAAGACCAAACCCACACACAGUCUAUUUAAAACAUGGACAGAGGAUCCGAACAGACGUCUUUCUGAAGAAACAUACAGAUGGCCGAUAGGCACAUGAAGAGGUGCUCAGCGUCUCUGCUCGUCAGGGAGACGCAGGUCGUAACCACAGUGAGACGCCGCCGCACACCUGUUGGAAUGACCACUGUCAAGAGGACAAGAGGUAGCAAGUGCCAGUGUGGGCGCGGAGAAAGGGGACCCUCGUGCGCUGCUGGUGGGAACGUAGGUUGAUGCAGCCCCUGGAAAACAGUGCGGAGGUUCCU